rnacentral:lncRNA from 1 species
CGAGUUUUCGAGCCUCUCGAUCCAGGAGCCCCAGCCCCGCCUCCGGGAAGCGUCAGGGGACUGGCGGCGGCGGCGGCGGGAAUGCGCCGCCUUUGCGGCCGCGGGAGCUAGGCAAGAACCGCGCCUCUCGAUUGCGAGAAGGCGGCGGCUCGUCAGAUCUCGCCGCCACGGGCUCCGAAACGGCAGCUCCCGGCUCCGGAGGACCCGGCCGUGGCUCCACGGCAGAUCCGCCCGCCGCCGCCGGUGUCGAUCAAGCUGCUGCUGCUUCUUGCCUGU